rnacentral:misc_RNA from 1 species
AAAGUCGUAACAAGGUUUCCGUAGGUGAACCUGCGGAAGGAUCAUUACCAUAUUUGGGGGUUACGCUUCGGCUAGCCCGACCACACCCAUGUAUUGUUAACCCUCACCUUUCUCUGGUAAUGGCCUGCCAGAGAAAGACACAACCCUGUACUUGUAAUCUGCAUCAGAAUCUAUGAUAUUAAAACUUUCAACAACGGAUCUCUUGGCUCUG